rnacentral:rRNA from 1 species
GACGAACGCUGGCGGCGUGCCUAAUACAUGCAAGUUGAGCGCUGCAGGUUGGUACUUGUGCCCACUGGAUGAGCAGCGAACGGGUGAGUAACGAGUGGGGAAUCUGCCUUUGAGCGGCGUACACCAUUUGGAAACGAAUGCCAAUACAGCAUAAAAACAUUAAACACAAGCUUUAAUAUUGAAAGAUGCAAUUGCAUCACUCAACGAUGAUACCGCGUUGUAUUAGGUAGGUGGUGAGGUAAAGGCUCACCAAGGCGAUGGAUUCUAGCCGAACUGAGAGGGUGGUCGGCCACCUUGGGACCGAGACACGGCCCAAACUCCUUCCGGAGGCCGCCGUAAGGAAUCUUCGCCCAUGGACGGAAGUCUGACUGAGCAACCCCGCGUGAGUUAAGAAGGUUUUUGGAUCCUAAAACUCUGUUUGUAGAGAAGAACGGUGGUGGGAGUGGAAAGCUCACCAAGUGACGGUAACUACCCAGAAAGGGACGGCUAACUACGUG